GGAUGAAGAGAGCUUGCUCUCUGAUUCAGCGGCGGACGGGUGAGUAAUGCCUAGGAAUCUGCCUGGUAGUGGGGGACAACGUCUCGAAAGGGACGCUAAUACCGCAUACGUCCUACGGGAGAAAGCAGGGGACCUUCGGGCCUUGCGCUAUCAGAUGAGCCUAGGUCGGAUUAGCUAGUUGGUGAGGUAAUGGCUCACCAAGGCGACGAUCCGUAACUGGUCUGAGAGGAUGAUCAGUCACACUGGAACUGAGACACGGUCCAGACUCCUACGGGAGGCAGCAGUGGGGAAUAUUGGACAAUGGGCGAAAGCCUGAUCCAGCCAUGCCGCGUGUGUGAAGAAGGUCUUCGGAUUGUAAAGCACUUUAAGUUGGGAGGAAGGGUUGUAGAUUAAUACUCUGCUGUUUUGACGUUACCGACAGAAUAAGCACCGGCUAACUCUGUGCCAGCAGCCGCGGUAAUACAGAGGGUGCAAGCGUUAAUCGGAAUUACUGGGCGUAA
rnacentral:rRNA from 1 species